rnacentral:rRNA from 1 species
CCUACGGGGGGCUGCAGUGGGGAAUAUUGGACAAUGGGCGAAAGCCUGAUCCAGCCAUGCCGCGUGUGUGAAGAAGGCCUUCGGGUUGUAAAGCACUUUCAGUGGGGAAGAAAGCCUUGGGGCUAAUACCCUCGAGGAAGGACAUCACCCACAGAAGAAGCACCGGCUAACUCCGUGCCAGCAGCCGCGGUAAUACGGAGGGUGCGAGCGUUAAUCGGAAUUACUGGGCGUAAAGCGCGCGUAGGCGGUCUGAUAAGCCGGUUGUGAAAGCCCCGGGCUCAACCUGGGAACGGCAUCCGGAACUGUCAGGCUAGAGUGCAGGAGAGGACGGUAGAAUUCCCGGUGUAGCGGUGAAAUGCGUAGAGAUCGGGAGGAAUACCAGUGGCGAAGGCGGCCUUCUGGACUGACACUGACGCUGAGGUGCGAAAGCGUGGGUAGCAAACAGGAUUAGAUACCCUGGUAGUC